rnacentral:rRNA from 1 species
GAUGAACGCUGGCGGCGUGCCUAACACAUGCAAGUCAGCGGUCAAAUUGCGGGGCUCAACCCCGUACUGCCGUUGAAACUGCAUCCCUUGAGUGCGCGAGAAGUAUGCGGAAUGCGUGGUGUAGCGGUGAAAUGCAUAGAUAUCACGCAGAACUCCGAUUGCGAAGGCAGCAUACCGGCGCGCAACUGACGCUCAUGCACGAAAGCGUGGGUAUCGAACAGGAUUAGAUACCCUGGUAGUCCACGCAGUAAACGAUGAACACUAACUGUUCGGCCAGAAUGAUGGCUGAGUGGUACAGCGAAAGCGUUAAGUGUUCCACCUGGGGAGUACGCCGGCAACGGUGAAACUCAAAGGAAUUGACGGGGGCCCGCCCAAGCGGAGGAACAUGUGGUUUAAUUCGAUGAUACGCGAGGAACCUUACCCGGGCUCA